ACUCAAAUGAAUUGACGGGGGCCCGCACAAGCAGCGGAGCGUGUGGUUUAAUUCGAUGCUACACGAAGAACCUUACCAGGGUUUGACAUGCAGGUAGUAGGGAUCCGAAAGGUGACCGACCCUUCGGGGAGCCUGCACAGGUGCUGCAUGGCUGUCGUCAGCUCGUGUCGUGAGAUGUUCGGUUAAGUCCGCUAACGAGCGCAACCCUCGGCGUGUGUUAUACGUGUCACACGCGACUGCAGGUAUUAAGCCUGAGGAAGGUGGGGAUGACGUCAAGUCAGCAUGGCCUUUAUGUCCUGGGCUACACACACGCUACAAUGGCCGGUACAAUGGGUCGCUAAGCCGCGAGGUGGAGCCAAUCCUCAAAGCCGGUCUCAGUUCAGAUUGUAGGCUGCAACUCGCCUGCAUGAAGACGGAGUUGCUAGUAACCGCAGGUCAGCUAUACUGCGGUGAAUACGUUCCCGGGCCUUGUACACACCGCCCGU
rnacentral:rRNA from 1 species